rnacentral:ribozyme from 1 species
GUAAAUAUGCUUACUGAAUUGGAGGGAAGGGGGAAUUAAGAGGAGAGGAGAAAGGAAAAGAGAGGAGAAGGAGGGCCUGUGGUAAAUGAAAGGAGGCGAAAGAAAUGCACGUUUUUUCUGUUAAUCAUUUUUUAUUUAUUCCCUGUAGCGUGAUAUUUUGAGAGACAGUCUGGAAGCAAAAGAAAGGAAACGGACAGGAAAGGUGCCUCAGAAUGGUUCAUCUGAAUCUCUCUGUCUGUGUGCACAAUUUGACAGAAAGAAAA